CUAUUAUGGAGAGUUUGAUCCUGGCUCAGGACGAACGCUGGCGGCGUGCCUAAUACAUGCAAGUCGAGCGAACUUAUCCUUCGGGAUAAGUUAGCGGCGGACGGGUGAGUAACACGUAGGUAACCUGCCUAUAAGAUCGGGAUAACUAUCGGAAACGAUAGCUAAGACCGGAUAACUGGUUUUCUCGCAUGAGAGAACUAUGAAACACGGAGCAAUCUGUGGCUUAUAGAUGGGCCUGCGGCGCAUUAGCUAGUUGGUAGGGUAACGGCCU
rnacentral:rRNA from 1 species